CGUCAAGUCAUCAUGGCCCUUACGACCAGGGCUACACACGUGCUACAAUGGAGCGUACAAAGGGUUGCGACCUCGCGAGAGUAAGCUAAUCCCAUAAAACGUUUCGUAGUCCGGAUCGCAGUCUGCAACUCGACUGCGUGAAGUCGGAAUCGCUAGUAAUCGUGAAUCAGAAUGUCACGGUGAAUACGUUCCCGGGCCUU
rnacentral:rRNA from 1 species